rnacentral:tRNA from 1 species
UGUGCCUGUAGCUUAGUCUGGUAAAACAUACGACUUUUAACCGUAAAGUCUUGGGUUCAAAUCCCAACAGCCAUAU